GCGCUACACUGACGGAGCCAGCAAGUACAACCUUGGUCGAGAGGCCCGGGUAAUCUCGUGAAACUCCGUCGUGCUGGGGAUAGAGCUUUGUAAUUUUUGCUCUUCAACGAGGAAUUCCUAGUAAGCGCAAGUCAUCAACUUGCGUUGAUUACGUCCCUGUUCUUUGUACACACCGCCCGUCGCUACUACCGAUUGAAUGGCUUAGUGAGGCUUCAAGAUUGGCGCCGCAGGAGGCAACUUUCCGGCAGCGCUGAGAAUUUAGUCACUUGGUCAUUUAGAGGUCGUAAAGUCGUAACAAGGUCCGUAGGUGAACCUGCGAAGGAUCAUUACUGUGAUAUACUUUCCACACUGCGUGCGCGUAACAAACCCCUAAACAUGAAUAACCCAGUCAAGAAUCCAUAAGAAUAAAACUUUCAACAACGGAUCUCUUGGUUCUCGCAUCGAUGAAGAGCGCAGCGAAAUGCGAUACCUAGUGUGAAUUGCAGCCAUCGUGAAUCAUCGAGUUCUUGAACGCACAUUGCGCCCCCUGGUAUUCCGGGCAUGCCUGUUUGAGCGUCGUUUCUAUCUCACGCAAGUGGAGCUGGCCCGGCCUUGGCCCCGCCGAAGACGAGGGCGAAGCGAACUAUGUUGUGCGCGACCCCAGCUAUCAAGCUCGACCUCAAAUCAGGUAGGAAUACCCGCUGAACUUUAGCAUAUCAAUAAGCGGAGGAAAAGAAACCAACAGGGAUUGCCUCAUUACCGGCCAGUGAAGCGGCAAGAACUCAAAUUUGAAAUCCCCCCGCGAAUUGUAAAUUGCAGGUUGGAGUCUUUUGCGGGGCUAAAUCCCUUGAACAGGGGGCC
rnacentral:rRNA from 1 species